GAUGAAGAACGUAGCGAAACGCGAUACGUAAUGUGAAUUGCAGAAUUCAGUGAAUCAUCGAAUCUUUGAACGCAUAUUGCGCUCUUUGGUAUUCCGAAGAGCAUGCUUGUUUGAGUAUCAGUAAACACCUCAACCUCUUCUUGAUUUUUCAAAAGGAGGGUGGACUUGAGCUAUCCCAACAACCUUUACCGGUCGGCGGGCGGCUUGAAAUGCAGGUGCAGCUGGACUUUUAUCUGAGCUAAAAGCAUAUCUAUUUAGUCCUCGUCAAACAGGAUUAUUACUUUUGCUGCAGCUAACAUAAAGGAUAAUUGUCCUCUUUGCUGACUGAUGCAGGAUUUUACGACACUUUAUGUGUUGUUCAACUCGAUCUCAAAUCAAGUAAGACUACCCGCUGAACUUAAGCAUAUCAAUAAGCGGAGGA
rnacentral:misc_RNA from 1 species